ACGGGGUGCAGCAGGCGCGAAACCUCCUCAAUGCACUUACGUGCGAAGGGGCUACCUCGAGUGCCACCUGAUGAAGGUGGCUUUUCCUAGGUCUAAAAAGCCUUGGGAAUAAGAGGGGGGCAAGACUGGUGUCAGCCGCCGCGGUAACACCAGCCCCUCGAGUGGUGGGGAUGAUUAUUGGGCCUAAAGCGUCCGUAGCCUGCCGUAUAAGUUUCCCGUUAAAUCCAGCGUCUUAAGCGUUGGACUGCGGGAAAUACUGUACGGCUAGAGAGUGGGAGAGGUCAGCGGUAUUCUGGGGGUAGGGGCGAAAUCCUUUGAUCCCCGGAGGACCACCAGUGGCGAAGGCUGCUGACUAGAACACGUCUGACGGUCAGGGACGAAAGCUGGGGUAGCGAACCGGAUUAGAUACCCGGGUAGUCCCAGCCGUAAACGAUGCAUGCUAGGUGUUGGGUUGGCCACGAGCCACCCCAGUGCCGCAGGGAAGCCGUUAAGCAUGCCGCCUGGGAAGUACGAU
rnacentral:rRNA from 1 species